CUCGACCUCAGAUCAGGC
rnacentral:rRNA from 1 species